GAAAAGUACCCCGGGAGGGGAGUGAAAUAGUUCCUGAAACUGUGUGUCUACAAGCCGUCAGAGCCUUUGGGUGAUGGCGUGCCUUUUGAAGAAUGAGCCUGCGAGUCAGCGGCGCGUCGCGAGGUUAACCCGCCUGUGGGGUAGUCGUAGGGAAACCGAGUCUUUGUUGGGCGGUUGAGUGGCGUGUCCUGGACCCGAAGCGGGGUGAUCUACCCAUGGCCAGUGUGAAGCAGCUGUAAGAGGUUGUGGAGGCGCGAACCCACGUAGGUUGAAAACUGCGGGGAUGAGUUGUGGGUAGGGGUGAAAGGCUAAUCAAACUCCGUGAUAGCUGGUUCUCCCCGAAAUGCAUUUAGGUGCAGCGUUGCAUGUUGAGCGUGGUGGAGGUAGAGCGACUGGUUGGUUGAGCGGGAUUAUGCGUCUUAGUGAUACCUGCCAAACUCCGAAUUCCAUUGACGUGUUGUGUGGCAGUGAGACUGUGGGGGAUAAGCUCCAUUGGUCGAGAGGGAAACAGCCCAGAUCGCCGGCUAAGGCCCCUAAGGGUGUGCUAAGUGGGAAAGGAUGUGGGGUCGCGAAGACAGCCAGGAGGUUGGCUUAGAAGCAGCCAUCCUUGAAAGAGUGCGUAAUAGCUCACUGGUCGAGUGGUUCUGCGCCGAGAAUGUAGUGGGGCUUAAGUACACCGCCGAAGCCGCGGCGCCAUGGUUUGCAUGGUGGGUAGGGGAGCGUCGUGCGUGUGGUGAAGCUGCCUGGUGAUGGGUGGUGGAGUGCGUGCGAGUGAGAAUGCAGGCAUGAGUAACGAUGAAUCAGGUGAGAAUCCUGGUGGCCGUAUGACUAAGGGUUCCUGGGUGAAGUUUGUCUGCUCAGGGUGAGUCGGGUCCUAAGGCGAGGCCGUCGGGCGUAGUCGAUGGGAAACGGGUUGAUAUUCCCGUACCGGUGCUGCCGCGUUCUUAUGGUGAAGCGUUGAUACUAACUGUGCCGCAUCCCGGAUCGACAGCCUUUCGGGGUUGUUGGUUUUUGCGGGGUGUGGUGUGGGGCCUGAUGCGUGGUAGCCAAGUGAUGGGGUGACGCAGUGUGGUAGCCACGCCUCCGGUUGGUUGUGGGGGUGUAAGCGUGUGGCCCGUGUGGUUGGUAAAUCCGCCGCACAUUGUGGGUGAGGCGUGAUGCGUAGCCACCUUGUGGUGGUGAUGGUGGUGAUCCUGUGCUGUCGAGAAAAGCCUCUAAGCGAGUGGUGGUGUUGCCCGUACCCGAAACCGACGCUGGUAGUUGGGUUGAGUAUACUAAGGCUUGCGGGUGAACUGUGGUUAAGGAAUUCGGCAAAUUGUCCCCGUAACUUUGGGAGAUGGGGAGCCACCUUGGGUCGCCAACACGAGCGGUUGGUGGGCGUGGGGUGGUCGCAGAGGCUAGGGGAAAGCGACUGUUUACUAAAAACACAGGUCCGUGCGAAAACUUAUGUUGAUGUAUACGGACUGACGCCUGCCCGGUGCUGGAAGGUUACGAGGAGCUGUGGGCCCAUCCUUGUGGUGGGUGUAGCGGUGAAUUUAAGCCCCAGUAAACGGCGGUGGUAACUAUAACCAUCCUAAGGUAGCGAAAUUCCUUGUCGGGUAAGUUCCGACCUGCACGAAUGGCGUAACGACUUUCCUGCUGUCUCGACCACAGGCCCGGUGAAAUUGCAGUACGAGUAAAGAUGCUCGUUUCGCGCGGCAGGACGAAAAGACCCCGGGACCUUUACUAUAGCUUGGUAUUGGGGUGUGGUUCGGUUUGUGUAGGAUAGGUGGGAGACUGUGAAGCUGCGCCGCUAGGUGUGGUGGAGUUGUUGGUGAAAUACCACUCUGGUCGUUCCGCGCCUCUUGAACCUUGGCCCAUGAUCUGGGUUGGGGACAGUGCCUGGUGGGUAGUUUAACUGGGGCGGUUGCCUCCUAAAUGGUAACGGAGGCGCCCAAAGGUUCCCUCAGUCUGGUUGGUAAUCAGGUGUUGAGUGUAAGUGUAUAAGGGAGCUUGACUGUGAGAGUGACUGCUCGAGCAGGAACGAAAGUUGGGACUAGUGAUCCGGCAUCUCCUUGCGGUUGGGGUGUCGCUCAACGGAUAAAAGGUACCCCGGGGAUAACAGGCUGAUCUUCCCCAAGAGUUCAUAUCGACGGGAUGGUUUGGCACCUCGAUGUCGGCUCGUCGCAUCCUGGGGCUGGAGUUGGUCCCAAGGGUUGGGCUGUUCGCCCAUUAAAGCGGCACGCGAGCUGGGUUUAGAACGUCGUGAGACAGUUCGGUCUCUAUCCGCCGCGCGCGUGGAAACUUGUGGAAGGCUGUCCCUAGUACGAGAGGACCGGGAUGGACGUACCUCUGGUGUGCCAGUCAUUCUGCCAUGGGUGUUGCUGGUUGGCUAUGUGCGGGAGGGAUAACCGCUGAAAGCAUCUAAGCGGGAAGCCUGUUCCGAGAUGAGGUUUCUUUUGAGGUGUCCUAGAGAUGAUGGGGUUGAUAGGCCGGGGCUGGAAGCUCUGUGAAGGGGUGUUGAGGUGACCGGUACUAAUUCACCGACUCGAAAACACUA
rnacentral:rRNA from 2 species